rnacentral:snRNA from 1 species
AAGUGUUACAUCUCUUUUAGAAUCUGUCUAGCAAACUUCCAGGGUUUACUGGACAU